CUGGAAUUCGGCUUGCUGGGAAAAAACGAAAGAGCGCAGGCGCCGGCCGAUCGGGCGCCAAUGUGAGUCUAGGUUGAUACCUAGACCGAACCAUCAGUUGUUCCAGAAUGAUACUACUUCUUUCAGAGGACUAUGAAAAUUCAGCCAUCCUGGGACUUGGGUGUCUCUUUCAGCCUGCUACCACCAUGCACUUAAACAGACCAACUUGGGCUUCCUUGAAAAAAUAUAGCUGAUUUCCCACAGAAAGAGCUGAAUGUUGAUCUCGGGCUGUUCUCAGAGACAUCCCAGUUUAAGAAAUGUAUCUGAGGCUAUUUAGGAAUGUGAUAUUGAAAUUAUUUUAUUGCCAGCAUGUCUUUUCCAUCUUUUUUUUUUUAAAGCAUGAAUAUAGAACUAUAAGAGGAGCAAUUAAGGAUUUCAUUAAACCUUUAGCAAAUUGCUUUAUCUGGGGGGAAAAAGGUUCUAGUGUGACCAAAAACAUUAUGGAAAGGCUGACAGACUCAAAUUCUAGCAUGUAGUAUCAUGAUGCCAUGUAGUUUUGACUCAGCUUUAUGCACAUCUGGAGUAGAAAAUGAUGGCCUUCAUCUUAGCUGAAAUACAAAUCUCUUAAAGGAGCCAUCCACACCAAUUCCUCUUUCAAGUUGAAUUUUAAUGUUUUUAAAAACACUUUAAAAUUAAAAAUUGGUAACUCUAAAGGAGUUUGUUUCCUCACUGCAUAAUUUUUAAUCCAUCGCAAGCAUUUUCUUUUACUUAAGAAAAUGAUUUGAUUUUUUGUGAGUGGAAAAAUAGCA